UACGUAGGGGGCGAGCGUUGUCCGGAAUUACUGGGCGUAAAGAGCUCGUAGGUGGUUUGUCGCGUUGUUCGUGAAAACUCACAGCUCAACUGUGGGCGUGCGGGCGAUACGGGCAGACUAGAGUACUGCAGGGGAGACUGGAAUUCCUGGUGUAGCGGUGGAAUGCGCAGAUAUUGGGAAGAACACCAGUGGCGAAGGCGGUUCUCUGGGCAUUACCUGACGCUGAGGAGCGAAAGUGUGGGGAGCGAACAGG
rnacentral:rRNA from 1 species